rnacentral:rRNA from 1 species
UACGGAGGGUGCAAGCGUUAUCCGGAUUCACUGGGUUUAAAGGGUGCGUAGGAGGGCAGGUAAGUCAGUGGUGAAAUCUUCGAGCUUAACUCGGAAACUGCCGUUGAUACUAUCUGUCUUGAAUACCGUGGAGGUGAGCGGAAUAUGUCAUGUAGCGGUGAAAUGCUUAGAUAUGACAUAGAACACCAAUUGCGAAGGCAGCUCGCUACACGAAUAUUGACUCUGAGGCACGAAAGCGUGGGGAGUCAAACAGG